rnacentral:rRNA from 1 species
AGGGCAGCCAAGUCGUGAGGCGGAGCUAANCCCUUAAAGCCAUUCUCAGUUCGGAUUGUAGGCUGAAACUCGCCUACAUGAAGCUGGAGUUACUAGUAAUCGCAGAUCAGAAUGCUGCGGUGAAUGCGUUCCCGGGUCUUGUACACACCGCCCGUCACACCACGGAAGUUGGGGGCGCCCGAAGCCACUUAGCUAACCCUUUUGGGAAGCGAGUGUCGAAGGUGAAAUCAAUAACUGGGGUGAAGUCGUAACAAGGUAGC